UACGAAGGGGGCUAGCGUUGCUCGGAAUUACUGGGCGUAAAGGGCGCGUAGGCGGCACUGUUAGUCAGGCGUGAAAGUCCUGGGCUCAACCUGGGAACUGCGCUUGAUACGGCAGAGCUAGAGGAUGGAAGAGGGUCGCGGAAUUCCCAGUGUAGAGGUGAAAUUCGUAGAUAUUCGCAAGAACACCAGUGGCGAAGGCGGCUCACUGGCCCGAUACUGACGCUGAGGCACGAAAGCGUGGGGAGCAAACAGG
rnacentral:rRNA from 1 species